CUUUGGGAUAACCCUCGGAAACGGGGGCUAAUACCGGAUAUGACUUCGCAUCGCAUGGUGUGGGGUGGAAAGUUUUUUCGGCCUGGGAUGGGCUCGCGGCCUAUCAGCUUGUUGGUGGGGUGAUGGCCUACCAAGGCGACGACGGGUAGCCGGCCUGAGAGGGCGACCGGCCACACUGGGACUGAGACACGGCCCAGACUCCUACGGGGGGCAGCAGUGGGGAAUAUUGCACAAUGGGCGGAAGCCUGAUGCAGCGACGCCGCGUGAGGGAUGACGGCCUUCGGGUUGUAAACCUCUUUCAGCAGGGACGAAGCGUAAGUGACGGUACCUGCAGAAGAAGCGCCGGCCAACUACGUGCCAGCAGCCGCGGUAAGACGUAGGGCGCGAGCGUUGUCCGGAUUUAUUGGGCGUAAAGAGCCCGUAGGCGGUUUGUCGCGUCGACUGUGAAAACCCGCAGCUCAACUGCGGGCCUGCAGUCGAUACGGGCAGGCUAGAGUUCGGUAGGGGAGACUGGAAUUCCUGGUGUAGCGGUGAAAUGCGCAGAUAUCAGGAGGAACACCAGUGGCGAAGGCGGGUCUCUGGGCCGAUACUGACGCUGAGGAGCGAAAGCGUGGGGAGCGAACAGGAUUAGAUACCCUGGUAGUCCACGCUGUAAACGUUGGGCGC
rnacentral:rRNA from 1 species